CAGCCGCCACGGUAAUACGUAGGUCCCGAGCGUUGUCCGGAUUUAUUGGGCGUAAAGCGAGCGCAGGCGGUUAGAUAAGUCUGAAGUUAAAGGCUGUAGCUUAACCAUAGUACGCUUUGGAACCUGUUUAACUUGAGUGCAAGAGGGGAGAGUGGAAUUCCAUGUGUAGCGGUGAAAUGCGUAGAUAUAUGGAGGAACACCGGUGGCGAAAGCGGCUCUCUGGCUUGUAACUGACGCUGAGGCUCGAAAGCGUGGGGCGCAAACAGGAUUAGAUACCCCUGUAGUCCCUGUCUCUUAUACA
rnacentral:rRNA from 1 species